UACUCUCUUUAUUUCACUCGUAUAUCUUGUGGAUUACUUGCUCUUCUUGUUGUUGGCACUGUUUGUGCCCUCGUUGAAUGUGUAUGUUUAGAGUUUAAAGUCCUAGGUAAAUUCUUGUACACAUUCCUGUUGUGGAGCCUUGGGCGGGCAGGGGAGGUGCUGUCCGUUCGGCGGUCUGUCGCCGCGGCCGAACCGUGCCAAAUUGGUAGUGGUUUCGGGGCGGGGCGUGACAGUCUUUUGUGGUAUCAGAGCAAUAAGAGCAAGUAAAGAGAGUUUAGGAUGACCUAGGAGACCCUAGGUUGGUAAACCUUAAGGUUAUAGGUGCGUGAGCGGAACGUGAACCUAUAGCGAUGGCGGAAGUUAAUUCGAUUGGGUCGAAGUUGGUAUAGGUCUCUAGUUGUGAUUAGAGACGGAUUCGAGUUGUAUGAGUUCUUAACUUGAGGUGGUUGUGUCGGCGGCCGACGACAUGAUACCAAGAGCCUAGGACGAGUACGCUUGUGUGCUUCCGCCCGAUUUUGUUGCUGAGUCGUCGUGUGUCGUGAUUCCGACGAGGAAGUUGGUUAAAGUGAUUAACCAAGUGGUUGCGUUUCAGGAGCUAUGGCACCGAAGAGACGCCCAAGUACGAGAUCCACUCCGGCACCGCCACCCGAGGUGCCCGAGCAGACGGAGCCGAGCAUGAUGGAUCGGCUGCAGGCACAAGUGACCGCGUUGAC
rnacentral:lncRNA from 1 species